GCAAAAAGAACUUCUGCGUCAGCCUAGCUUGUGUGGGCUUCUCUCCUCCAAACAAGUGCUGCCUCUCUUCUUCAGACACCAAUCCUUUCGCACUGAUAAUGGUAAUUCUGGCCGAAACAGUGAUAAUUCGUUUGAGAGCUCAGAUGACUUUGAACGACGCUUAUUUGGUGAUAUAAGCAAUAAUGAAAUAAAUGAUUCAUUUUAUCGCAAACUUGACAAACUUGAGAAGGCUCAUGGAAGAUCUGGCAUUGGCUCCAAAUUGAACAGUGAUGAUUCUCGAAUCAUAGAUGGUAUAAGUGAUAGUUUUAAUUCAUUGUCAGAUGGUAUGGAUGAAAAGUUGAAGGAAGCAGCUCGUACGUUUGUUUUUAGUGAUGAGAUACACGAUGAAAAUUAUAAAUUUAGACCAGAUGUGACAUUUUAUCCUGGUAUGACUUACACAACAAGGGAUCUUGAUCUUACAAAACCUGGGGUUCAAAAGAGAUUCAAAAGAAAUGAGUUUGAGACAACCACACAAGAGGUUCUGAAGAAAGCUGAUUUCAGGAAUGUGAGGUUCCUCUCAAAUUUUCUGACUGAAGCAGGAAUUAUAAUUAAAAGAAGCAAGACUCGUAUCAGUGCCAAAGCUCAGAGGAAAGUUGCGAGGGAGAUUAAAACUGCACGGGCUUUUGGGCUAAUGCCGUUCACUACCAUGGGAACGAAGCCUUUUAUCUUUGGGAGAAGUAUGAAAGAUGAAGCUGAGGAUUACGAACACGAACAUAACACCGCAAGCACUGCCACAAAUCCUUAGGAGGAAAGCUGAGGUGGCAUUAAGCCAGCUAGGUUUAAUUCAGGUGUAUGAAUCUUUUAUCUUGACAACCAAGAGGCAGUAAAAGGGGGACAACAAAAAGGUGGCUGUUUACACUCAUCAGAUAUUUAGCUCAAUAAAUGUUACUGCCUUCUGUAGAAAGUUGUUCAUCAUUUUGCUUUAGGCUUGACGUCUAUUAUUCUCAUGAUAACAGAGAUCACAGCUCAGAGCAACGAUUUGCUUUCCUCCACUGCAUGGGCUUUCUCAU